UGCGUAGGUGGUUAAUUAAGUUAGUUGUGAAAUUCCUGGGCUCAACCUGGGGUGGUCAACUAAGACUGAAUAACUUGAGUAUAGGAGAGGGUAGUGGAAUUUCCGGUGUAGCGGUGAAAUGCGUAGAGAUCGGAAGGAACACCAGUGGCGAAGGCGGCUACCUGGCCUGAUACUGACACUGAGGCACGAAAGCGUGGGGAGGCAAAACA
rnacentral:rRNA from 1 species